rnacentral:rRNA from 1 species
CCUACGGGCGGCUGCAGUGGGGAAUAUUGCACAAUGGGGGAAACCCUGAUGCAGCGACGCCGCGUGAGUGAAGAAGUAUCUCGGUACGUAAAGCUCUAUCAGCAGGGAAGAAAAUGACGGUACCUGACUAAGAAGCCCCGUCUAACUACGUGCCAGCAGCCGCGGCAAUACGUAGGGGGCAAGCGUUAUCCGGAUUUACUGGGUUUAAAGGGAGCGUAGACGGCAGCACAAGUCGGGAGUGAAAUCCCGGGGCUUAACCCCGGAAUUGCGUUGGAAACUGGGCGGCUGGAGUGCAGUUGGGGUAAGCGGAAUUCCUAGUGUAGCGGUGAAAUGCGUAGAUAUUAGGAGGAACACCGGUGGCGAAGGCGGCUUACUGGACUGUAACUGACGUUGAGGCUCGAAAGCGUGGGGAGCAAACAGGAUUAGAUACCCUAGUAGUC